rnacentral:rRNA from 1 species
UACGGAGGGUGCAAGCGUUAUCCGGAUUCACUGGGUUUAAAGGGUGCGUAGGUGGGUUUGUAAGUCAGUGGUGAAAUCUCCAAGCUUAACUUGGAAACUGCCAUUGAUACUAUAGAUCUUGAAUUUUCCGGAGGUCAGCGGAAUAUGUCAUGUAGCGGUGAAAUGCUUAGAUAUGACAUAGAACACCGAUUGCGAAGGCAGCUGACUACAGGGAUAUUGACACUAAGGCACGAAGCGUGGGAUCAAACAGGA